rnacentral:rRNA from 1 species
AUUGAACGCUGGCGGCAGGCCUAACACAUGCAAGUCGAACGAGUGGCGGACGGGUGAGUAAUGUCUGGGAAACUGCCUGAUGGAGGGGGAUAACUACUGGAAACGGUCGCUAAUACCGCAUACCAUCAGAUGUGCCCAGAUCGGAUUAGCUAGUUGGUGGGGUAACGGCUCACCAAGGCGACGAUCCCUACCUGGUCUGAGAGGAUGACCAGCCACACUGUAAUGGAUACACGGUCCAGAAUCCUACGGGAGGCAGCAGGGGGGAAUAUGGCACAAUGGGCGAAAGCCGGAUGCAGCCAUGCCGCGUGUAUGAAGAAGGCCUUCGGGUUGUAAAGUACUUUCAGCGGGGAGGCGUUACCCGCAGAAGAAGAACCGGCUAACACCGUGCCAGAAGCCGCGGGAAUUC